rnacentral:rRNA from 1 species
UACGAAGGGGGCUAGCGUUGUUCGGAAUUACUGGGCGUAAAGCGCACGUAGGCGGACAUUUAAGUCAGGGGUGAAAUCCCGGGGCUCAACCCCGGAACUGCCUUUGAUACUGGGUGUCUAGAGUCCGGAAGAGGUGAGUGGAAUUCCGAGUGUAGAGGUGAAAUUCGUAGAUAUUCGGAGGAACACCAGUGGCGAAGGCGGCUCACUGGUCCGGUACUGACGCUGAGGUGCGAAAGCGUGGGGAGCGAACAGG